rnacentral:rRNA from 1 species
AGUGAACGCUGGCGGUAGGCCUAACACAUGCAAGUCGAACGGCAGCACAGUAAGAGCUUGCUCUUACGGGUGGCGAGUGGCGGACGGGUGAGGAAUACAUCGGAAUCUACUUUUUCGUGGGGGAUAACGUAGGGAGACUUACGCUAAUACCGCAUACGACCUACGGGUGAAAGCAGGGGAUCUUCGGACCUUGCGCGAUUGAAUGAGCCGAUGUCGGAUUAGCUAGUUGGCGGGGUAAAGGCCUACCAAGGCGACGAUCCGUAGCUGGUCUGAGAGGAUGAUCAGCCACACUGGAACUGAGACACGGUCCAGACUCCUACGGGAGGCAGCAGUGGGGAAUAUUGGACAAUGGGCGCAAGCCUGAUCCAGCCAUACCGCGUGGGUGAAGAAGGCCUUCGGGUUGUAAAGCCCUUUUGUUGGGAAAGAAAAGCAGCAGGUUAAUACCCCGCUGUUCUGACGGUACCCAAAGAAUAAGCACCGGCUAACUUCGUG